rnacentral:rRNA from 1 species
UGGUAAUGCCGGAUGCUCCGGUUGGAUGCAUGUCCUUCCGGGAAAGAUUCUAUCGGUAUGGGAUGGGGUCGCGUCCUAUCAGCUUGAUGGCGGGGUAACGGCCCACCAUGGCUUCGACGGGUAGCCGGCCUGAGAGGGCGACCGGCCACAUUGGGACUGAGAUACGGCCCAGACUCCUACGGGAGGCAGCAGUGGGGAAUAUUGCACAAUGGGCGCAAGCCUGAUGCAGCGACGCCGCGUGCGGGAUGGAGGCCUUCGGGUUGUAAACCGCUUUUGAUCGGGAGCAAGCCCUUCGGGGUGAGUGUACCUUUCGAAUAAGCACCGGCUAACUACGUGCCAGCAGCCGCGGUAAUACGUAGGGUGCAAGCGUUAUCCGGAAUUAUUGGGCGUAAAGGGCUCGUAGGCGGUUCGUCGCGUCCGGUGUGAAAGCCCAUCGCUUAACGGUGGGUCUGCGCCGGGUACGGGCGGGCUGGAGUGCGGUAGGGGAGACUGGAAUUCCCGGUGUAACGGUGGAAUGUGUAGAUAUCGGAA